rnacentral:rRNA from 1 species
AACGAACGCUGGCGGCAUGCCUAACACAUGCAAGUCGAACGAGAUCUUCGGGUCUAGUGGCGCACGGGUGCGUAACGCGUGGGAAUCUGCCCUUUGGUUCGGAAUAACAGUUGGAAACGACUGCUAAUACCGGAUGAUGACGAAAGUCCAAAGAUUUAUCGCCAGAGGAUGAGCCCGCGUAGGACUAGCUAGUUGGUGUGGUAAAGGCGCACCAAGGCGACGAUCCUUAGCUGGUCUGAGAGGAUGAUCAGCCACACUGGGACUGAGACACGGCCCAGACUCCUACGGGAGGCAGCAGUGGGGAAUACUGGACAAUGGGCGAAAGCCUGAUCCAGCAAUGCCGCGUGAGUGAUGAAGGCCUUAGGGUUGUAAAGCUCUUUUACCCGGGAUGAUAACGACAGUACCGGGAGAAUAAGCUCCGGCUAACUCCGUGCCAGCAGCCGCCGUAA